CUUCCCUGGAGCUGGAAGUAUAGGGGUGAUUAAGAAGACAGCAGCAUAGCUGGGGUUCAGUCUUCUGGAAAGUGUUUCCUGAGAGUCAGCACACGGUAGCUGUGUCCUAGACACGGCCAAAGCUGAAUUUGGUAGUCAAAGUCACGCACGCGGUACUCGUUUUAAAAGCAUGAUGGGGUCAUGGACAGCCCCUGCAGCUUGGCACUGUGUGGCAGGGCUGGAGUCCCUGAAAAGAGCUCAGGGGAGUCUGUUGGUAAAAGUGUGUGUCUGUUUCAGCAAGAGACCCCAGCAGUUUUCAAGAUGCCAGUGCCACAGGGUGACCACUAAGGACAGCAGCAGUGGUGGAGUGGAGCCAGUCUGAGCCGAGAAGACAAGCUGUGUGUACUGCAGAGGGCAGAGCCAGAGAAGUGACCCAAGCCUCUUGGAGGAGCCCAGAGGGUUGUCGACAAAGGGUCAGUCGUGCUGGGUAUUUCUUGUCAAUCUGAUACAAGCUAAAACAUCUGGAAGCUCAAUUAAGAAAAUGCCUCCAUAAGAUCAGACUGUAGCCUCGGCUGGAAGACAAGGAUGCCCAUAAUGAAGAAAUCCAGACCUCCAGUUUCUAAAAGAAAAUGCACUUAGAUCUUGUUGAUGAUUUGCAUUUUCUGGAAGAACAAUAAUUCAAUCUUUUGGACUUUCUGAAUCUAAGAUACAUUAAAAAGAAAGAAAGAAAGAAAAAAAAAGAUAUCUGAGGAGCCUACCAGGGUUCUGGAAUGACACCAAAAGACACAGUCUCCACCCAUUUUCUUUGUACCUGGGCUCUGCAGCUUCACCGCAUCUGUUUGUGCUUUGCUCCCCUUUCAUAGCAGCAGGCAGAAAAGAUUUAUUAGUAAAAUAAAAAGGCACAGCUAAGUGAUACACAGUCACGUGAAACAAGGAAAAAUGGAGCAACCUCUUUAGGCCCCUUGACCCUUAUAAUAGCUUGUUGCCCAUCAUAUCAUGUGGCCACCUGUAUA